CGACUAUUCAGAGGCGCUCAUUAGCCGAAGGCGUUCGAACCUCUACAAAUAGGAACCAAUGAAAACAGACUCGGCGCAAAGUUAAAUAUGUGGAUUACUGAACUGAACAACAAAGUCGUCGACGCCUCGCGGAGUGGAUGCGCGCGCGAGGAGCUUCCGCCGCAGGCGCCGCGUUAUUGUUCAACAGCUGGGCGUCACACCGAGGCGCGACGUCGUCGCGGCUCGUCUCUGUGGUCUCUGGUAAAGUUCAGGAGCGCUGCUCGGCUCUGUUUGCGGAGCCGGGGCUACUUCGACUGGUUAACACAGACGUUAUCG